UACAGAGACUGCAAGCGUUAUUCGGAUUCACUGGGCGUAAAGGGUGCGCAGGCGGCGAUCUACGUCUGGGGUGAAAGCCCGGAGCUCAACUCCGGGACUGCCUUGGAUACGGGAUCGCUUGAGGAUUGGAGAGGCAAGGGGAAUUCCACGUGUAGCGGUGAAAUGCGUAGAUAUGUGGAGGAACACCUGUGGCGAAGGCGCCUUGCUGGCCAAUUUCUGACGCUGAGGCGCGAAAGCGUGGGGAGCAAACAGG
rnacentral:rRNA from 1 species